GACGAACGCUGGCGGCGUGCCUAAUACAUGCAAGUAGAACGCUGAAACUUGGUGCUUGCACCGAGCGGAUGAGUUGCGAACGGGUGAGUAACGCGUAGGUAACCUGCCUGGUAGCGGGGGAUAACUAUUGGAAACGAUAGCUAAUACCGCAUAAGAGUAGAUGUUGCAUGACAUUUGCUUAAAAGGUGCAAUUGCACCACUACCAGAUGGACCUGCGUUGUAUUAGCUAGUUGGUGGGGUAACGGCUCACCAAGGCGACGAUACAUAGCCGCCCUGAGAGGAUGAGCGGCCACACUGGGACGGAGACACGGCCCAGACUCCUACGGGAGGCAGCAGUAGGGAAUCUUCGGCAAUGGACGGAAGUCUGACCGAGCAACGCCGAGUGAGUGAAGAAGGGUUUCGGAUCGUAAAGCUCUGUUGUAAGAGAAGAACGAGUGUGAGAGUGGAAAGUUCACACUGUGACGGUACCUUACCAGAAAGGGACGGCUAACUACGUG
rnacentral:rRNA from 1 species